AUGGGCAAUAGAAACUUCCCAGUGGCUGAGGAAAAUCAGUCGUCUUCUGUGGGAUUCAAUGGCUUUGAAGGCUGCUUGGAAAGAAAACUCUUGAUUUUAGGAACAGAAGGGUUUAUGUAUGGAGUAAAGAUUCAAGUCCUCUUCAAGAAUGUUGGAUUUGUCUCAUGGACCUGCAAUAGUUACUCUUUGUUUUCUGUGUUAAUCAGUAAUGGCAAAAAUGCAACAUGGCGUUACUUUGCAACAAUGAAUCUGAAUUGGAAAGAGUGUUGGUUGUGGAAGGUGGGCGUUUCUAUUAGAGGUGGUGAGCGGUCCCAAGAGCAGUUAGGUAGGGAAUAUUAAGUGAUGUCUAGUAUUGUUAACAUCUUUACCCAAACAUUUGUAGAUAGGUGGAAACAGUGUGUUAUACUUCUGUAAAAGCUUUUGCAACUGCAGACAUUGCUUUGGAAACUUCCCAGGGCAAGAAAAUGAUUUUACAUAAGCAAUUCUGUAGUUGUUGACGAUCUUUUGCAUUAUUUGUUGUUCUCUUCACUGUACUUGGAUGUCAAGCAGGAGGGGGAAUCUCCAGGUUGUCAUAAGAUUUCAUAUCAGCCACAGUCUGAAAAGCGCAUUUGGUAAGGGUGAUAAUUUAAAAAGCAUCUACUACACUCAGGCUGAAAUUCUGCUGCUUAGCCUAGUAAGCUGCAUCUAGGAAAGGCCCAUUGAAUCAACUGAAAUUUGUUGAUACAAUUACUCUAUAACUGCCACUGAUUCAAUGGGCCUACUCAUUGACUUACUGUGCUAAGCAACAGGAUUUCAACCAUGCUGUUGAAGGAGAGAAGUAUAUCUGGCAGCGAAAAACAGAUUUUGUUAAAGCUAACAUGGCCUAGUGCCAGAAUGAAACAUAGGGAGUUACCUGUUUGCAAUAUGGUUUUCACCCCCCCUCUUUUAAAAAACAACGACCCAGCAUCACAUUAUUUCUUGCAUUGCAUUGUUGUUAUGGCUACAGCAAAGAUAAUAAACUUGUAUUAAACUUGGCGUAGGAUUUAUAA
rnacentral:lncRNA from 1 species